ACCUCGCUGCUCUCACACAAUCUCUCCACUGGAGUAUCAGGAGUACGCCAUCCCAUCACCCACCUCACCCUCUGCGUUUCUUGCCUGCUUGAAAAGAAGAGGGCUUCUCAAGCACAUCCCUGCUCUAUCCUCUGUUUCUCUGAGUGAGCGUGCGUGCGUGUGUGAAUGCGUGAGACAUCAUGCGGGGAACAAACGACAUACCGACCGCAAACAGCGGUGGCAAGCUCCAGAUUCGCACGGCUCUCUUGGAGUCUGUGCGCCGUUACAAUGAAGAUUGUUUAAACACAUCGACGGCGGCAGCGGCCGAGGAACCUCUCGCGACCCCGACGCAGCGCGGAGAUAGGUUUCCUGAUGCGUUGCCGCGGAUGAUUGCCCAGCUCUACCCUAGCCUUACGAACCCCUCCUGGGCAAUGGAAGAGUGUGUGCGCCUGUGCCCCGCCGCGGAGGUGUGGUGCGGGACUGCGCUGCCCAAGGACGUGUGGGCACCGCCAGGCACGGCGGAGUGCCCGUUCGGCACGGAGCCUAUGGACUUCAACGCACAUCGAUGAAGGAGCCCACCGUGUUCGCGUUGCUCUCCCCGCUGAUGCGCUCCCCAUCGCUUUCGUGAGCCGACGCGCAUUCGACUGCCAAACCGUCGAGACAAUGCGAAGGAAAAAGAGAAAAAAAAACAAAGAUGAGAGCGCACCAAAAGGGAGGGACACACCGCUCACCGCACCAGGGAGCUGCUGGUGAGUAGGUAGGUAGGUAGGAAAUGCUGGGCUCCUGCUUUCCUCAAUGGCACCGAUGUGCCCUCAUCAACGUUGCUUGCGCUAGCCUCUUUUUUUCCGACAAGCCUACGGCUUUCGUUUGUGUGUGUGUGUGUGUGUGAUGGGGUAAGUAGCGAAAGAGGAGUGCAGCCGGAGACACGCCAUGCCCUCUCUCCCGUCCCCCUCCCUAUACCUAGCUUCAUUGUGUUGCCCUGCCCCCUCCCUCCCCUCUCGCAUACCUUCUAAGCCCAUGUUUCCUCUCUCUCACACACACACGCACACACUCCUCGCUUCCGCUAACAUCACGGGCGAUUAUCCCCCUUCCCUGCGUAG
rnacentral:misc_RNA from 1 species